rnacentral:ncRNA from 1 species
AAGGAUCUUCGGGGUAGGGUGCAAUUCCCAACCGGCGGUGAUGUUCAUGAUGAACGAGCCCGCGACUCCUCUAGCUGACAGCAGCACGGGGGACUGACUUGGUGCGAAUCCAGGGCCGACGGUACAGUCCGGAUGGUAGAAGAUCAUC